GAAAUGCGAUAACUAGUGUGAAUUGCAGAAUUCCGUGAAUCAUCGAGUCUUUGAACGCACAUUGCGCCCCCUGGUAUUCCGGGGGGCAUGCCUGUCCGAGUGUCAUUGCUGCCCAUCAAGCACGGCUUGUGUGUUGGGUCGUCGUCCCCUCUCCGGGGGGGACGGGCCCCAAAGGCAGCGGCGGCACCGCGUCCGAUCCUCGAGCGUAUGGGGCUUUGUCACCCGCUCUGUAGGCCCGGCCGGCGCUUGCCGAACGCAAAUCAAUCUUUUUCCAGGUUGACCUCGGAUCAGGUAGGGAUACCCGCUGAACUUAAGC
rnacentral:misc_RNA from 1 species